rnacentral:rRNA from 1 species
UCCUAGCCCUAAACGAUGCUCACUAGGUGUUAGAGGUAUCGACCCCUCUGGUGCCGCAGUUAACGCGUUAAGUGAGCCGCCUGGGGAUUACGAUCGCAAGAUUAAAACUCAAAAGAAUUGACGGGGGCCCGCACAAGCGGUGGAGCAUGUGGUUUAAUUCGAUGCUACGCGAAGAACCUUACCUGGGUUUGACAUGCUAGUAGUAAGAUCCCGAAAGGGUGAUGACUCCGAUUUAUCGGAGAGCUAGCACAGGUGCUGCAUGGCUGUCGUCAGUUCGUGUCGUGAGAUGUUUGGUUAAGUCCAACAACGAACGCAACCCCUA